YGUNACYAGAAUAAUAAAUNAGUGAUAACUCNUGCCCAAGAGAUUUUAAAUGGCCGCGGUAUCCUAACCGNGCAAAGGUAGCAUAAUCACUUGCCCUUUAAUUGUGGGCUAGAAUGAAAGGACAGACGAAAAUAAAGCUGUCUCUAUUAGAUCAAUAAAAAUUAAUCUCUAAGUGAAGAAGCUUAGAUAUAUUUGCAGGACAAGAAGACCCUAUAGAGCUUUAUMUAAACUAUAUAAUAUAUAAUAUAAUAAGAAUCAGUUGGGGCGACUAAGGAAUAUAAACAUCCUAAUAUAAAAUAGAUAAAUAUAUCACUAUUAUAGAUCCUAUUAAUAGAUCAAUAAACUAAGCUACCUUAGGGAUAACAGGCUAAUUCUUUCCUAGAGUCCUUAUCACCGAAAGAGUUUGGCACCUNGAUGUUGGCUUAAGAGAUCAUUAUGACRCACUAGUCAUAAAAGAUAGUUUGUUCAACUAUUAAAUUCCU
rnacentral:rRNA from 1 species